GUGAAUCAUCAAAUUUUUGAACGCAAAUUGCACUCCCUGGUAUUCCGGGGAGUAUGCCUGUUUGAGGGUCGUUAGAAUAAAAAAUCGCGGCGUUGCUCUUUUUUAUUAAGGGUGAUCGCCUCGGAAUUGACACGUACUUGAAAUGAAAAUUCAUGUCAAAGUGGUCUAAAAUCUAUAUAACAGGCACGCUUA
rnacentral:misc_RNA from 1 species